AGGAGAUCAGAAGGGAACACUCUGGAGGUGGAGACUUUGUGAAUUAGGAAGGAUGGGGUAGUGGGCAGAGACUCAUGUUUCUCAGAAGCAGAGCACCCUGCCUGCCCUUGUCCCUGUCUGAAGACAGUACUCAUGACCUGCCAGCUAUUAGCCUCAGUGCAUGCAGUUCAUAACGAGAGAGAAAUGUAACAGAAAAGAUACCUAAGAAGAUAAUUCACCCAGAUGAUGUUCUUCUCAUUCGCAUUCUUCGCAUUAAUAGCUAUGGUGGCACUAGACUGUAUCCA
rnacentral:lncRNA from 1 species